rnacentral:lncRNA from 1 species
ACAAAAAAAUGGGGACAUAAUGGAGAUGGUUGAUCCAAUAUUGGGGUCUGAAUUCAACAAGAAAGAAGUGGUUAGAAUGAUCAAUGUAGCCCUGCUAUGCACAAAUCAAUCUCCAGCACUUAGACCUACAAUGUCUACAGUAGUGAGCAUGCUUGAAGGAAAAACUGAUGUCGAGGAACUCGUCAUGGUUCCAAGCACAUUGGGUGAUCCAUCAGGGUUUUCUACGGCCUUACAUAACAAGUUUGCUCGAUCUUCUGUCAAUGGAAGUUUAAGUGAAACUCAGUCCCUCUUGAAGUUAUCAGAGGGACCAUGGACUGCUUCUUCCUCUUCAUCGGCCCAGGAUCUUUAUCCAAUUAGUAAAAGCUGAUGCCUCGAACCACAAAUUGUUUAUCAUGAAAAAUCAUGAAUAAGAAACAGAUUAAAACUAAACAGUCACAAAAGUACUUUUUAUAGUUAGUGUUUAUAUCCUACAGGGAAUUGAGUGAUUAUAUGUAAUAUUGACUUUAUUUAUGCAAAAAUAUAUAUUUUUAUUUAUAAUAAUAAUUAUUUAAGUUUUAUUAAUGAAUCUAGAAUAAAUAUGAAAUUCUGAAACAUAAAUACUUUGUAAAUAAAAUUAUAAAAUAAUUAUAAUUAUGAGUAUUCAUAGCUAUUGCAUUAAAACAUUGUUUUUAAAUAUUUAUAUUCAGAGUUGUGAAGAGUGAUAUAUAUCAUUUUUAUAAAUAUAAUGAAUAAUAAUUACAAUAAAAAACCUGUUACUAAAAGCUAAGUUAAAUUGGAGUUGGAUUUCUUUUUUAUUACGAGAGUGUUUAAGAGUAUGAUACUAGUUGCGGUUAAAAAUAUUUUUUACUUGAAAAUAUAUCAAAGUAAUAUUUUUUAUUUUUUAAAAAAUUAUUUUUAAUAUCAAUAUAUUAAAAAAAUCUAAAAACAUAAAAAAAUUAAUUUUUUUUAGAAAACAUGAUUUGUACUGCAUUUCUAAACACCACUUCCAUCUAUCAUGUAACAAUUGUUCCCAUUGAAAAUCAAUCCAAUUCGGUGAUAAGUCUCCACACUAAAUCAUUCAUAAGAAGCCUUAAGUAUAUUUUAUACUUCUACCCUAAUCUCAGAACCUUUAAAGACUCAAGAAAAAUCCUUUACCUUAAUCUAUCCAACACAUUUCCAUUAUUGCAAACCUUUAUAUCUUUUGCCAGAUAGGAAGCUAUUCUCAGUAUUUCUGAUUUUUAUCCUUGAACUUUCAUUUUACACAAUUGAAUCAUUUUUAAUUCGAAUUGAAAUCCAAUUGCAUAUUUUUUUAGGAGGAAGAGUAAUUGAAAGGCAAAUGAUUAAAAUAAAAAAGCAGGUAAAAUAGGUAAUGUAUUUAAAAUUGGUUUGUGAAGUUCAUAUUAGUCUCCUAUCUUUUUUAUCUAUUAGGUAAUUGGUUCCUCUAAUUGUCAAAAAUUCAAUUUUGAUACGAAACUUCAUUUUUUAAAUUUUUUCCAGUUCUUCUUUGGUGAAGGAGAGAGAUGGGAUCGUCAAAUUCCAACGUAAAGAAAGAGAGUUGUUGAUAGAGAUGAUUUUGACCACCAAAAUAGUAUAUUUUUGUGUCAAAUGGUUUCAUAUAAUAGGAAGAGUUAAGAUUAUAUGGUUUUACCUUGAAAACACCUACAAAAACAAAUAUGAGAUUGAUAAGAGUUUUGAUUUCGAGUUGAUUUUGAGUUUUGGAGUUCUUUUUAGCAUUUUUAGAGGCCAUAGAUUGGUUUAACAAGGGUUCAUAUGAUGUUUUUCUAAGUGUUUUGGGUCAAAAAUAUGUUGAAAAUGAGUUUUUGGGUGAAAAAAAAACUAACCCUAUUUUUCGGUCAACUUGUUGCCGAAUUCUACAGAGCUCCGGAUGAUGCAUCAUUGUUUUUUUCUAUUUGUUAAUAUUUUUGUUCUUUUUAAUUUAAUUUCAAAGUGAAAAUUUAUUGUUGCCCUAUAAUUUAUUUUUUAUUUUGAUUUUAACCCUUUUUUUUAAUUAAUAUUUUCUAUUUUAAACUUUUUUAUAUAAUUUAUUUUUUAAAGUUUAUUAUUCAACAUUUUAUUUUUUAUUUACCAAGGAUUGGGAUCAUUAAAGAGUCGAUGUUGCCUUGCUUGCUUGUGCUUAAACAAGUUCAGGAUCAGCACCCCCAAUGCCUAAGAGAAUUGAUAUGGAAAAGUUCCUGAGUUAUUGGAACAUUGAGUCAAGCCGAGCAAUUAUUUUUAUUAAAACGUUGUAGUUUUGAUUUUUUAUAAAGUCAGGGCAACUCAAUAAAAUCAAUUAAAUUUUAUAAAAUAAAUAUCUUUUUUAAUUUAAUUUAAAAUUUAAUCUAAUUCAAGCACUGCAAUUUUCUAAGAUCAAUCUGAAAAUCAUUUUAGUAUAAAAUAUGUUUAGUAUUGUGGUGUAAAAUAUUUUUUAAUAAAAAAUAUAUUUAAAUAAUAUUAUAUAUAUAAAUAAACAAAAAACAAUUUUAAAGAAAAAAUCACAGAAAACUUUACAACUAUAUGCUGGAAAUACAAAAACUCUUAACCCUUUUUUAAGGGAAAAAAAUGGUGAAAGGCAAACCCCAUGUAUUCCCAUUGUUUUUUGACCUUAGCCCGUUUUUACAAGAUAAUGGGUCCAUGGAGUUCUUAAAAUCGCAGCAAAGAGCUAGAACAGUCAAGCAUUAGAUUCAUGCAAAUUCUUUGAUCCCGAACGAUCACAUGAGUUAAAUUGAUUAAAAAACACCUGAUGAGGAUAAACUAGUUUAAUCAUAUAUUUAAUUAAAAAAACUUGGGUCAGAUUCUAAGUUUUCCAUGUUAAUUUGUCAUAUCAAGCAGGUUUAAUAAUUAUGCACAUUACAAUAAACCCAUGACUAUAAGCAAUUUAGAGGCUUCUCGAUAGAAGUAUGGACUUGCAUUUGACCCCAACUAAAACAAACCUCACAAAUGACAAAUCUAUUUUAAGAAGCCUAAUGGACUUUUAUACAUUGAUUUUUAUAAUUUUAGAGGCUUUUUCUGUCACAUAUAAUACAUAUUAUUAUUAUUAUUAUACUAUACUUUAAUAAAAUGUGUGGAAAAACAUUGUGUAGAUACUAUAUAUGUAGAUUUAUUAUAUUAUGGACCACAUUAUAGAUAUAUAAUAUUUGUACCGUGGAUGAUAUUGUAACACCAGGAGAGCGUUAUUUUUUUUUUAAUUUAAUCAAAAAAUAUUGUCGGGUCUGGUUUGGCCGCUAACCCAAUGCUAUUGGAUCCGACUACCAAUACCCUUGAAGUCUAGCUGCCUAGCUAGAUCCAAUAACAUUGGAUCUGGCUCGGCAACCAGACCCAUAAAUAUUGGGUUUGUCUCGAUCGGUAGCAAGACCAAUGAUAUUUUUAUAUUUAUAAUUUUUGCAUUUUUUUCACUCAAUGCAUAUUUGUUUUGAUUAAUACACACACACACACACAAACACUCACACACACUAAACUUAAUCACAUUUUCUUUGUCAUAUUUGGUUUAAAAGUUGUUUGUUUUUGAAUUUUAAAGGUGUAUUUAUCUUGAAACAUCAUUAUAUUAAUGUAUUUUUUUAGUAAUUGUUUUUUUAUAAUUUUGAGGUAUUGUUGUUAAAAGUAAAAAAAAAAAACCUUAUUUGAACUAUUUUCAAGUAAAAAGUACUUUUAAAAAAUAUUUUAUACCACAAUUUCAGACCCAAGACUAUUGGGUUCAGCUCCAUAGCCAGACCCAAUAGUAAUGGGUCUGGUUGCAGAGCUAGACCCAAGGUUAUUGGGCUCUCUUCAGAAGCCAAACCCAAUAUGGAGCCUAGCUCAGCUGUUAGACCCAACGAUAUGGGAUAUGGCUUGCCAGAAAGACACAAUGCUAUUAAGCCUGGCUCUACAACAAGACCAAUGUUUUUGGGUCUGCCAUUCUCGCCAGACCCAAUAUCAUUUGGUUCUGGUAUAACCGUCAGACCUUAGAUUAUCGUGUUUGACUCUACAACCAAACCCAAGAAUAUUGGAUCUAGCUUGACUGUUAGACCCAAAACACUUAAAAUAUUCUCUAUACUCUUUAUAUUUGUUUUACAUUUGAAAAACAAUUUGUUAUUAACUUGUUAUGGAGCGCAAGCCAAUAUAAUAAUAGCUUAUUAAAUUAUGUUUGUUUUUAAUAUAUUUUUUAAUUUUAUUAUUCUUAUCCUUUCACCAUCCUAAAUUCAAAAAAAAAAAAAAAACUCUAAUCACUUUACCUAUCAUUCAAACUUUGACCAUUAACUUGCAAUAUCAGCACCUUCCCAAUUAAAUGUUAUUUUAGGAGCUUAGAAUAACAUCUUUUUACUUUUAUUUGUUCUUUCAAAACAAAUCAAAACUUACGAUUCCAAGAAGAAGAUAGCGCUACGAGGAUAAAAUAAUAAAAUGAUGUUGUAAUCUAUAGAUCUUUUAUUUUUAUUAUUAAACAUUUGCUCCUAAACAAAUAGUCACAAUUUAGUCCUUCAACAAUUUCAAUAAAAUCCUUGCUACCUUUGAAUGGUUUUAAUACUGUCUUUCCAUCCAUUUCACGAUGUGUUUGCUGUUGCUUGAAUGAUAUGGAGAAUGCUCUAUGUGUUAAGAAAUAUAUGCUGAUUCAAAGAGAAUAUAUUUUAUUUGAUGUAAUUUUUCUAUAAUUAUUUUUUUUUUUAUUUUUUUUUUACAUUUAGACUCUUUAUAAUAAAUUAAAUAGCGUAAUUAUAAAAACCCUCGUAAUAUAAAAAAUACAUACAAAUUUCUAUUUUAUUUUUUACAUUGAUAUUAGAGCUGGAUUCAAUAUAAAAAAUACAUACAAAUUUUUAUUUUAUUUGUUUACAUUGAUAUUAGAGCUAGUUUCAAUAUCCUAGUCUUUCAAUACUUUGGUCAAAUAUUAUGGAGGACUAGAAAACCGACAUAGAGCCAGCCACCCAGGAGAGACCGGUAGGAAUGCAACUUCGAAAUGAAAUUCUUUAAGAUAUUUCAUUUUGAGAAAUUAUUCAAUGCAAUUGGAUUAAUAAAUAUAUUUUACAAAGAUAUUUUUAAAAUAAAAUAGCCUAUCUUACAAAGAUAUUUUACAAUGAUAUUCUUUCGAAAUGAGUCUCUUUUGAUGGUUUUGUGGAUUCAAAGAAUUAUAUAGCCUUUCUUUUCUCCGUUUUUGAACGUAAAAUUCUUCUUUCUUAUGGUCGGAUACUUCCUCUCCAAUUUCCCAAUCAUAUUUAUUAUUAUCAAUCUUCCCGUUGACUAAGAGAUAAAAAAAUGCAAGGGCACAAGUGGUCUAGUACAGACAAAGGUAUACUUGAAGAAGUGCGGGCUUAUAUAUAUAUAUAUAUAAGACAACGUAAGAAAGACCCCACAUCAUCCUGAAAGGUCAACUAUAAUGAUGCAUUAAGCUCUCUCCAGGCAGCCUACUAACUCUUAAAGUGGAUUGCAGACUAAGGAAGAUGGCUACUGCACUCUCUGAUAUAUUGAGAGUCACAUCUAGCUUACUUAUGCUUAUGUUCCUAAUGUUUUGCAUGGGAGCAAUUAACUUGGAGGCCCAAGAUGGGAGCCUUGCUCCUGAUGAAGGUACCUAUAUAUAUAUUUUUUUAAUUUCUUGGCAAGGCAUUGUAGAAGCCAUCAGCUAAUCAUCCCAGAAUUAGAAGUUGAGAUUUAAUUGUGAUUUAUGCAGUGGAAGCUCUACUUGAAGUAGCAACACAACUGGGCAAAAAAGGCUGGAAUCGCAAUAUGAAACUGUGCAAUGAUACAAUUUUACCUCCAAAGCCAGAUGCUGACAAUAAAGUUGUUUGCAACUGCUCGUUUCCUGGGGGUGUGUGCCGUGUUAUUGCCAUGUAUAUCUCUUCACUUACCACUCCAUGCUUUUAUUUUCAAUUUUAAUUUGAGGUCUGAAGGAUUCUGAUGGGGCCAGUUCAGGGAAUGGAGGAAUAGUUGUGGUGUAUAAAGUCUCCUCAGAAACCCCAUUUCGAUUGUUGAAUUUUAUAUUAAGAAAUUCGGAUAAAUUCAUUAGCAAUACAAUUAUCUAAAAACAAGUAUGAUAAGGAUAUCAAGGAAAACUUAAUCAUGUGGAAAAUGUCGUGAAUAGCAAAGAAAGGAUCUCCAGCAAAGAAAAUUGAGCAUCUGUCAGAAGUUUAGUCUUAAAAGUUUGAAGAAAAGCUGAGUUUGUCGGAAAAUAAUAUAAAUAUUUUCAUAUCUUGAGAUCUCGAAUCUCGAAGCUUUCACUUGGAAAGUGUUUAGGAAAUAAUAUAAACCUUACAGUUUAAGUCAAAAAUUUGGUUUUCUAUUCCAUUGGCUGUUUGUUUGUAGUUAUGUCUUAUAUUUUCUUGACAUAUGAUUGUUGAUUUGCAAUGGUUGAAAGUUUUGAAUUCUUACCUUGUAGUGAGGAAUUGAUGGGUCCAUGUGUUCUUGCAAUGCAGAUAUCUCAAAAGGCAAGAUCUUGAUGGUAGUCUCCCAAAGGCUAUAGAGAAACUACCACAACUUAAACAUCUGUAAGCAGCGCUUCAAAUUACUACAUUUCUACAGAUUGAGUACCGUGAAUUUGCAUCGAAUGAUUCGAUUUUAUUAGAAUUAUAUCUCCUCUGCAGAGAUCUCUGGGCCAACUACCUGAGUGGCAAUAUACCACCUGAAUGGGCUAAUACCAAGCUGGAAUUACUGUAAGAAAAUACUGCAUUCAUGUUUUGUAGCCAAGGAAUUGCUUACUCAUAAUUAAUAGAUUGUAUAAACAACAGGUCUAUCGGCGUGAAUCGCUUGACAGGAAAAAUCCCUAGCUAUCUGGGAAAUAUCACCACACUUAGAGCAUUGUAUGCAUUUUUCUACUAGUCAAUUUCUUGUCUUUUAAUUUUAUAUUUAAAUCUGUUCAAUUGUUUAGUCAGGAGUAAUCCUGAGAGUUGGCAUUUAUGCAGGAACAUUCAGAACAAUAUGUUUUCUGGAACUGUUUUCCCUCUGAGCUUGGAGGCUUGGUUAACCUGGAGAAUCUGUCAGUUCAUUCAACCUUUUGCGUUUGAAAUUAAGUCCUAACUGAUUAUUGAAUGCUAAGUGUUUUUCUCCUUUUGUGAUUGCAGAACUCUCAGUGCCAAUAAUCUCACUGGAGAGUUACCCCCGGCUCUUAUUAAUCUUACCGGAUUGAAGGAACUGUAGGUUCUCAUUUCACAUGGUUAUUGUGCAUCAUACUCAUUAGUUGCAGUAUUUGAUAUUUACUCUCCAAGUUUCUUGAUUCUGUGUUUUCCGUUCGGCGAAUGCAGAAGGCUUAGCAGCAAUAACUUCACUGGAAGAAUACCUGAUUUUAUUCAGAGCUGGAAACAACUUGAUACAUUGUAUGUGCUAGUUUCUAACAAGAAGUUCUGAAUCUCAUCAGUGAAGCAGAACCCUAACCCCCCUUUAAUUUUGUAUUAACAGAGAGAUCCAAGCUGGUGGUUUCACUGGACCUAUUCCUUUGAACAUCUCUGUCUUGACUAAUCUAACUGAUCUGUAAGAUAUUUGUUUUAAAUUUAUGGUCCCAGUUACAAGUUUAAUCCUGAACAUCUCACAUCUUUAUGUUGCCUACUAUUGAGCAGAAAAAUAAGUAACUUACUUGGAGAUGGUUCAGAGUUUCCCAACCUAGAAUCUAUAGCAGGCAUUAAGUAUCUGUGAGUUAUUCUUGCAGCUGAUACUCUCAUACCAGGAUCAUAUUUAAUUUACAACACAGUAUAUAUUUAGCUUACAUGAAAUUAAUGUAUAUUGCAGGCUAUUGAGCAACUGCAACUUGUCAGGAAAUUUUCCCAUAUAUUUGACCGGAAUGGCACAGCUGAAAAUUUUGUAAUUCACUCUGUCCCUUAUACAUCAUCCAUUGUGUCAUUCAUCUACAUGAAGAUUGAAGUGUGAAUCUCAUGGAUACUUAGAGCUGCUGUCUUUAGAUUGCAGCUACAUUAUUAUUUGUAAAUAACUUUCAAAAUGCAUUAUGAACCAGGGAUCGCAGUUUUGGUCUUUAAUUUAUUUUUUUUCCUUCUUUUCGAAAACAGGGAUCUCAGUUUCAACAGAUUAAAUGGUUCUCUUCCAACAAAUUUUGAUGGCCUAAAAAGCUUGGAGAAAAUGUAAGUAUACUAUAUUAUAUUACCUUCUGAAAUUAAUGUUUGCCAUAUGAAAGCAUAAUUAUUAAACCUAGACAAGUUGACAUAGAAAGUUCAGGACUCGGAGCCGAGAUUCCAAUUGAACCAUACAAGACAUUGAACUGCCAAACCUGAUGGGUCAAUAUGCAUUUGCUUAAAUAAAAAAGUUGACUUAAAAAAGUACGACAAAUAUGUUCAACCAAAUGAACUUGUUCUCCAGAUAGUCUUUUGCAAUGAUAGCCUUGGACAAAUGUUCAACCAAAUGACCAUUCUUACUUUCUGCCUAGGUAUCUUACAUGGAACACGCUUACAGGGCCCAUCCCAGAUUGGAUCGACAAAAGAGAUCCUCGCUAGUAUGUUAAUUUUUUCUUAAUUUUUGUAUACGAAUUUUGAUUUUUGAGAUUUUUAUUCGUAAUAUAUUUUCUUUUUACUCAAUUAGAAUUAUUUAAUAUUUUCUUUGAAGAGCUAUAAAAGCCGAUAAACAGAUGAUCCUUCCCAGUUUCCAGAUAGUUUACAGUACAGCUGUGCAUGAAUGAUCAAAACUAUCUCCAAGGUUUCCUUUGGUUAGUGUCCUAGGAUAGAAAGGACAAAUAUAGAAGGGACAAAAAAGUAUUUGGUUGCAGUGAUGAAGAUGAAGAUAUAAAAUUUUUUGUCUCGAGAUAGUUUUGGAUUGAAUUUUUAUCUUUUGAAAACAGAAAAGGCGUCAGGUGAGGACAUAUUCUUUCUGUCCCAACUACCUUCAUCUCUUUUAUCUCGAGACAGCAACCAAAAGCUAACCCAUUGCAAUAUCUUCCAAGUGUCUGUCUAUAGCAUGUGCAUGCAAUUUUCUAAAAAUUCCAGAAAUAUUGGCUGAAUGUUUAAUGAAGCUAUCUUUAUGUGCAGCGAAAUCGAUCUUUCUUACAACAAUUUUACUUCGGAAGCAAAAUGUAGAGAAACACUGUAAGAUUGAUUUCAUUUUCCUUGCCUUACCUUUGAUUUUGAAAGUCUACUUCUUUUUACAUCACCAUUCACUUCAUAACCUACAAAACUUGACUCUUCUUGUUGUCACGACCCGAAUCCCGGAUCCGUGACCGGCAACGUAGGAGCGGUGUCGAAAGGACACCUCACCUACGUUAAGCCUCAGAACAGACAUGUCAAAGAACAAUUUGUUCAAAAAUACGCAGCGGCUCAUAAUAUUCAGAAAUAUUAUAUUAUUCAAAUACUGAUGAAACCGAAAGAUAAUUAUUAAAACAAAAAUAAUAAUUCAUAAUACUUAUUACAUUGUCAAAAUCCAAAUGUAAUUAAAACAAGGUAACAGUGGAGCGUCUAAGACAUCAAAUCAAAACUGAAAGGAAAGCCUUGCGAACAAGCAAGGCAUACCGACAAGAACUGAAGAAGCGGAAACACUCAACAAAGUUCCAGAAACUAAGAACCUGAAAUAAUAUUAAAAAUGAGGGUGAGUUCAACCAACUCAGUGAGGGGAAUAACAUUUAAUACACAUUUCAUAUAUUUCAGAUAUUAUUUGCAAGAUGAUUUAUCUUGAUAUGCAUAUACAUAUACAUAUACAUAUACUUACUAAACAUAUUAUCAUAACGUAGUGGAUUACAUGUCAGAGAACAGAUGACACCCGAAGGUGACCAGAUGACACCCGUCGGUGACCAGAUGACACCCGUCGGUGACCACUGUGGGAUGAUCAAUCACCACAGGCUGAUGCCUCUCUCACCAGCUAGGUAACAGAAUACUAUGUGCACACAAGCUAACUAUUCUCCGUUAGCAUGGAGUUACUGACAAGUCCCAUAUCAAGGCAUAAUAGAUAUUCACAUAAUCAUCAAAGAAGCGUAUAUCAUAUCAAAUAGAAUUUACUUUGACAGAUUGCGAAUGCAAAUUCAAGAAUAAAUGAGUACUCGGAAAAUAAAGCAACAUAUAUAAAUAUUCAAGAAACUUACUAGUCGUACUCAUUGUAUAAUCAACAUACAUAUUUAUUUAUAUUAUAUGCAUAUUAAAGAUUAUUCCACUCACCCGGAAAAUACUGAACUAAAGGAAUGUCAGGCAAAAGACCCGAAAAUCCGAUUAAGGAUCGUUAGGAGAACCUACAAUAAAUUAAUGAAAUAUACUCAAAAACAAAUCAAACAAAAGAUACAAAUGCAUAAAAUAAACUGAAAACGACAAUUUUCCAAAACAGGGACCAAAACGUAAUUUUACCAAAUUUGAGGACCGAAUUGUAAAUAUAUAUAUCCAUACUGAAAUUAUCCAUAAUUCGUCCUUAUCUUUGUCCAGAAUCUUGAAUUAUGCCCCAAGGUCCAAAAUGUGAUUUUAUCAAAAUAUUAGGGGUCAAAUCGUAAUUUGUCAAAUUGGAGGACCAAACUGAAAAUAUUAAUUAUACUGGAAUUUUGUCCUUAAAUCAUCCUCAGUUCUGUUCAGAACCUCAAUUUAUGCCCCAGGGACCAAUCUGUAAAAGUUCCAAAGUUCGGGGACUAAACUGCAAUUUCCAUAAAUUGAGGGACCAAACUGAAUUUUCGUCAUCUUCAACCUCAAACCCAGAAUUUCAACAGAUCACCUACUGUUAUCCCCUGAUUUCUAACACAAUUUCACCAUUUAAACAAAAUCAUAACUCAAAAUCAUUAUCCUUCAAUUCAAUCUCUCAAAAUCAACUAAUUAAUCAAAUACCCAUAAUAAUCAACUCCUAACCUUCAAAUUAAUUCAUCAAUUAACUCAAAAUACAAACUUCAAAACUCUAAAAAUUAAUCAAAACCGAAAUUAAACAUAUAAUACACUUCAAACCAUAAAUCUUACCUUUUAAACUUAUUUCCUCUACUUCUCUUCCUUUUCCCCUUAUUUUCCCUUCUUUUCUCUUCUUCUUCUUCUUCCUCCCUUCUCUCUUACGUUUUGUUCUUCAAAUUUUCAGAUCCCUCUUUCUUUUUCUAUUUAUAUUUAUCAACUAUUUAUCCAAUUACCACAAUACCCCUUAUUCAAAUUUACUCACUCUUUAAGCCUCCAAGGGCUUUAUUGUAUUUUCCAACCAAAAUAUUACAAUCUCCCCACCUUAUAAAAGUUUCGUCCUCGAAACUUAAUAGAAAAGAUUGAAUACUUACCGAGAUUAUUGAAAAGAUGAGGAUACUCCUCACGCAUCUUAUCCUCGAGCUCCCAGGUCGCUUCCUCACGUGAAUGACCUUUCCAUUUCACUUUCACUGAAGCUAUAUCCUUCGACCUAAGCUUCCUCACUUGUCGGUCAAUUAUAGCUUCCGGUUGCACCUCAUAAACCAUAUCAUCUCUCAAUUCAAUAGGAUGAACCUCUAACACAUGUGAUGAAUCUGGCAUAUACUUCCUUAGCAUGGAAACAUGAAAUACCGGAUGGAUGGAGGAUAGAUUAGGUGGCAAGGCAAGCCGAUAUGCCACUACCCCUACUCUUUCCAAGAUCUCAAAGGGCCCUAUAAACCUAGGGCUCAACUUUCCUUUCUUCCCAAAUCUGAAUAUUCCUUUAGUUGGGGAGACUUUUAGGAACACGUUGUCACCCACUGAAAAUUCUAGAUUACGCCUCCUCUUAUCCGCAUAAUUCUUUUGUCUGCUCUGAGCUGUUUGAAGCUUAUCUCGAAUCACCUUAAUCUUAUCCGAAGUAAUCUGUAUUAACUCAGGACCCAUUAAUCUCCUCUCUCCAACCUCAUACCAACAAACAGGUGAUCUACACUUCCGGCCAUACAAAGCCUCAUAUGGAGCCAUAUCAAUGCUCGCUUGAUAACUAUUAUUAUAUGCAAACUCCACCAAAGACAAGUAUUUGCUCCAUCCGACACCAAAGUCAAUCACACAAGCUCUUAACAUAUCCUCCAAAAUUUGUAUAGUCCUCUCAGAUUGUCCAUCUGUUUGAGGAUGAAAAGCAGUACUUAACUGAACAUUAGUCCCCAAAGCUUCCUGAAAUUUCACCCAAAACCGAGAAGUGAACUGUGGACCUCUGUCAGACACAAUUGAGAUGGGCACACCAUGCAACCUUACAAUCUCGUUAACAUAGAUUUCUGCGAGUUUUGCAAACCCAUAUGUCACCUUUACUGGCAAGAAAUGAGCUGACUUGGUUAAACGAUCAACUAUCACCCAAACCGAAUCAUAACCCUCCUGACUUCGAGGCAAGCCUGACACAAAGUCCAUAGUGAUCCUCUCCCAUUUCCAUUCAGGAAUCAACAAUGGUUGCAAAAGCCCUGGUGGUUUCUGAUGCUCACCUUUAACCCUCUGACAUGUCAAGCAUCGAGAUACAAACUCAGCAAUGUCCCUCUUCAUACCAUUCCACCAAUAACACUCUUUUAAGUCUCUAUACAUCUUAUUAGAACCAGGAUGUAUAGUAUAGGCAGUUUGGUGUGCUUCCAUCAUCACAUCUCUUUUCAAAUCAUCCACCUCAGGCACACACAAUCUUGAACCAAAUCUCAACACACCAUCUUCGUGGAUAACAAAACCCGGAGCUCUCUCUAACUCCAAGUCAUCUCGAAUUUUGCAAAGUUGUUCAUCCUUCAUCUGAGCUACUUUAAUCCGGUCUACCAAGUCUGACUUAGCCUGAAAGUGAGCCAACAAUGCUCCCGAUUCACAAAUCUCAAAACUGACUCUCUCAUCUAACAAUCCGUGUAACUCUUUAAUCAAGGGUCUCCUCACCUCCUGAAUAUGAGCCAAACUACCCAUAGAUUUUCGACUUAAAGCAUCAGCAACAACAUUUGCCUUGCCCGGGUGAUAUUGAAUCGUGCAAUCAUAAUCACUUAACAAUUCUAUCCAUCUUCUUUGUCUCAAAUUCAGAUCCUUCUGCUGAAAAAUAUAUUGAAGACUCUUAUGAUCUGAAAAUAUCUCACAUGUCUCCCCAUACAAGUAGUGUCUCCAAAUUUUAAGGGCAAACACUACCGCAGCCAUCUCCAAAUCAUGUGUGGGGUAAUUUUGCUCAUGCUUCUUCAACUUUCUCGAGGCAUAAGCAAUCACAUUACCAUUCUGCAUCAAAACACAACCCAAACCAAUCCUGGAUGCAUCACAGUACACGGUAAAACCACCAGACCCUGAAGGUACUGUCAAAAUUGGAGCCGUAAUUAACCUUUCCUUCAACUCUAGGAAGCUCUUCUCACAUUCUUCUGACCAUUGAAACUUGACACUUUUCUGUGUCAACUUAGUCAACGGAGCAGCAAUUCGGGAAAAAUUCUCCACGAAUCUCCUGUAGUAUCCUGCUAAACCCAGGAAACUUCUAAUCUCAGAUACCGUAACUGGUCUAGGCCACUGCUUAACUGCCUCCACUUUCUGUGGAUCAACCUCUAUUCCAUUCUUGGACACCACAUGUCCCAAAAACCCAACACUCUCUAGCCAAAACUCGCUCUUCGAGAACUUUCCAUACAACUGAUGAUCUCUUAGAGUUUGAAGCACCAAUCUCAAAUGCUCUUCGUGUUCCUCUUCACUUUUUGAAUACACCAAGAUGUCAUCAAUGAACACAAUAACAAACUUAUCAAUAAAUGGUCUAAAAACCCUGUUCAUCAUGUCCAUAAAAGCCGCAGGUGCAUUUGUUAACCCAAAAGACAACACCAAGAACUCGUAAUGCCCAUAACGAGUCCUAAAGGCAGUUUUAGAAAUAUCCUCAUUUCUAAUCCUCAACUGGUGAUACCCCGAUCGUAAAUCAAUCUUUGAGAAACAUUGAGCUCCUUGUAAUUGAUCAAAAAGGUCAUCAAUGCGAGGGAGUGGGUAUCUAUUCUUAAUAGUGACCCUGUUCAACUGCCUGUAGUCUAUACACAUCCUCAUCGAUCCAUCCUUCUUCUUUACAAAUAAAACAGGUGCCCCCCAUGGAGACACACUCGGACGAAUAAAUCCCUUAUCUAACAAAUCUUGAAUCUGCUCCUUCAACUCUUUUAAUUCUGCUGGCGCCAUCCUGUACGGUGCCAUAGAGAUUGGUUUUGUUCCUGAAUCUAGAUCAAUACAGAAUUCGAUUUCCCUAUUGGGAGGUAGUCCAGGUAAGUCAUCGGGAAAAACAUCGAUGAAUUCCUUAACUAUCGAAACUUGUUCUAUCCCCGAGACCUCCAUAUUCACAUCAUGCACAUAAGCCAAAAACCCUUGCAUACCCUUUCGUACCAUCCUUCUCGUGAUGGCCGAGAGAAUACUAGAUGGAGAUGAUAACCCAUCUCCAUGAAAAGCAAACUCUGUCUCCUCAUCAGGCUUGAAAACCACUGUCUUAUUCCAACAGUCAACUGAGGCAUGAUGCCUUGACAACCAGUCCAUACCUAGUAUCACAUCAAAACCUACAAUUUCUAAAAUUACCAAAUCACCUAAUAGGUUUCUACCUUGCACUUCAACUUCACAAUCAACAUAAACAUAUUCCCCAAACAUAACCUCAUCUGAAGGGGUAGCCACACAUAAAGGACUCUCUAACAAAAUGGGUUGUUUAGUAAACUUUAAAGCAAAAUAUGAUGACACAAAAGAAUGAGUAGCCCCGGUGUCAAAUAAAACUCUAGCCUCGAAGGAACAUAUCAAAAGUGUACCUGAGACAACAGUAUUGGAUGCCUGGGCAUCCUGCUGAGUAAUGGCAAAAACUCGUGCCUGUCUCUGACUUGUUGGCGCAAAACCUCUACCGCCUACUCCACGACCCCGCUGGCCACGCUCACCAGCUCCACGACCACCCUGAAAUACAGAAUGACUAGCUGACUGAGUCUGAGUAGGAGAUGUAAUCGGUACAGAAGCAUUAGGCUUGGACCACCUCUUGUUCGGACAAUCCCUCAAUAAGUGAUCAGUCUGCCCGCAACCAAAACAAGCUCCUGUCUGCCUAUAACAGACUGUGCCAUAAUGCCUAGACCCACAAGACUGACAUUGAGGCCUCCCAUAUGAACCUUGUGGUGUUAACUGAACCAUACUUCGACUCUGAGUCGGACCAGCUCCACUCAUGUUAUGUCUAUUGUUCCCCCCAACAGUAGACCUCGACAAUGAAUUCCUUGAUUGACUUAAUUGGCCCUGCCGGCCUCCCUGUCCCCUGUUAGGACCUGUAUCAGACCGCUGAUGAAAAGAGAACUGAUUUGCCACCUUGGGCCUCUUGACUGAACCCACUGAUAAAUCAUCCUCUAACUCUCGUGCCUCAAUAGCUCGGGCACGAUCCACUACGGCUGAGUACGUCUUAAACUCAUGAGCCCCAAUAGCUUUGAAUAGGUAGUUAUUAAGACCCCGAAUAAACCUCUUGAUCUUCCUCUCCUCAGUCGGUACCAAAUACCCAGCAAAUCUAGACAACCGUGUGAAUUCCACUUCAUACUCUGUCACAGUCAAGUCACCCUGAACCAACUUCUCAAACUCGUAUGAUUUAGCUUCCCUCACACUUUCAGGUAGAAAACGCUCCAAAAAUAUCUCAGAAAAUUCCUUCCACUCCAUCGGUGGAGAACUAUCUGCCCUUUCACCUCUUUUACUCAUACCAGUUCACAGCCACCUCGCCUUCUAACCUAAAAGAUGCUAAAGUCACUGCACGAUGAUCUGUGCACCCCAUGGCCUCACACCUGCGCCACACUGCAUCUAAAAACUGUUGUGGAUCCUCAGAGUUAUCGACACCCUUAAAGGUAGGAGGUGCCAACUUAAGGAACUCUGCCAAUGGCACUUUCACCCCAUGCACUGUAUGGGAAGUCGAAGAUGCAUUCUUAUCCUUCUCCUUUUCUUUCUCAGUUAAAAGGUCAGCCAGGGUCUGCAUGGCCUGCCCAAUUUUAUCCAAAGCACUAUCAGUAUAAGACACCCUAUCAUGGGAUUCCUGCUCCUGGUUCUUACCAACAUCCAGACCAUAGUCCCCCUCAAAUUCAACCUCAUCCUGAACUUCUGCUUCAAUUGGUUGAGGCGAAGGGUUUCUAACUCUCUUUUUGCGCCUCUCCUUCCUAAGCUGAGCGAUAGGAAUGUCCUCUUGAUCAUCGGUAUUAAUUACAUGUUUAGCCCUCGGCAUAUUUCUAAAAACAAAAUGCAUAUUUAUCACAAGGAAGAAGACAUGCUUGAUGAGAAUUCAAAAUUUCAAAAACAACAAACAAAACGAUACGGAUCCUAAUGCUCCACUUAUUACGAAAUUUUGAAUAAUAAUAAAUAAAUAAAAUUACGAGGUUUUAAUAAAACCAUGCUCUGAUACCACCUUUGUCACGACCCGAAUCCCGGAUCCGUGACCGGCAACGUAGGCGGUGUCGAAAGGACACCUCACCUACGCUAAGCCUCAGAACAGACAUAUCAAAGAACAAUUUGUUCAAAAAUACGCAGCGGCUCAUAAUAUUCAGAAAUAUUAUAUUAUUCAAAUACUGAUGAAACCGAAAGAUAAUUAUUAAAACAAAAAUAAUAAUUCAUAAUACUUAUUACAUUGUCAAAAUCCAAAUGUAAUUAAAACAAGGUAACAGUGGAGCGUCUAAGACAUCAAAUCAAAACUGAAAGGAAAGCCUUGCGAACAAGCAAGGCAUACCGACCAGAACAGAAGAAGCGGAAACACUCAACAAAGUUCCAGAAACUAAGAACCUGAAAUAAUAUUAAAAAAAUGAGGGGUGAGUUCAACCAACUCAGUGAGGGGAAUAACAUUUAAUACACAUUUCAUAUAUUUCAGAUAUUAUUUGCAAGAUGAUUUAUCUUGAUAUACAUAUACAUAUACAUAUACAUAUACUUACUAAACAUAUUAUCAUAACGUAGUGGAUUACAUGUCAGAGAACAGAUGACACCCGAAGGUGACCAGAUGACACCCGUCGGUGACCAGAUGACACCCGUCGGUGACCACUGUGGGAUGAUCAAUCACCACAGGCUGAUGCCUCUCUCACCAGCUAGGUAACAGAAUACUAUGUGCACACAGGCUAACUAUUCUCCGUUAGCAUGGAGUACUGACAAGUCCCAUAUCAAGGCAUAACAGAUAUUCACAUAAUCAUCAAAGAAACGUAUAUCAUAUCAAAUAGAAUUUACUUUACAGAUUGCGAGCAAAUUCAAGAAUAAAUGAGUACUCGGAAAAUAAAGCAACAUAUAUAAAUAUUCAAGAAAUUUACUAGUCGUACUCAUUGUAUAAUCAACAUACAUAUUUAUUUAUAUUAUAUGCAUAUUAAAGAUUAUUCCACUCACCCGGAAAAUACUGAACUAAAGGAAUGUCAGGCAAAAGACCCGAAAAUCCGAUUAAGGAUCGUUAGGAGAACCUACAAUAAAUAUAUGAAAUAUACUCAAAAACAAAUCAAACAAAAGAUACAAAUGCAUAAAAUAAACUGGGCUUAAUCUCCCGAGUUUAGGGACUAAAACGACAAUUUUCCAAAACAGGGACCAAAACGUAAUUUUACCAAAUUUGAGGACCGAAUUGUAAAUAUAUAUAUCCAUACUGAAAUUAUCCAUAAUUCGUCCUUAUCUUUGUCCAGAAUCUUGAAUUAUGCCCAAGGUCCAAAAUGUGAUUUUAUCAAAAUAUUAGGGGUCAAAUCGUAAUUUGUCAAAUUGGAGGACCAAACUGAAAAUAUUAAUUAUACUGGAAUUUUGUCCUUAAAUCAUCCUCAGUUCUGUUCAGAACCUCAAUUUAUGCCCCAGGGACCAAUCUGUAAAAGUUCCAAAGUUCGGGGACUAAACUGCAAUUUCCAUAAAUUGAGGGACCAAACUGAAUUUUCGUCAUCUUCAACCUCAAACCCAGAAUUUCAACAGAUCACCUACUGUUAUCCCCUGAUUUCUAACACAAUUUCACCAUUUAAACAAAAUCAUAACUCAAAAUCAUUAUCCUUCAAUUCAAUCUCUCAAAAUCAACUAAUUAAUCAAAUACCCAUAAUAAUCAACUCCUAACCUUCAAAUUAAUUCAUCAAUUAACUCAAAAUACAAACUUCAAAACUCUAAAAUUAAUCAAAACCGAAAUUAAACAUAUAAUACACUUCAAACAUAAAUCUUACCUUUUAAACUUAUUUCCUCUACUUCUCUUCUUUUCCCCUUCUUUUCUCUUCUUUUCUUCUUCUUCCUCCCUUCUCUCUUACGUUUUGUUCUUCAAAUUCAGAUCCCUCUUUCUUUUUCUAUUUAUAUUUAUCAACUAUUUAUCCAAUUACCACAAUACCCCUUAUUCAAAUUUACUCACUCUUUAAGCCUCCAAGGGCUUUAUUGUAUUUUCCAACCAAAAUAUUACACUUGUCUUGCCAGAAAUCUGUUCAAAAGUACUUGGGGAGGGAACUAUUCGUAAGCUUCUACUUUGAUAGAUAUCUUAAACAUAGAUCAUUUUAUUUUCUUCUUCUCUGUCAUUUCUUUUAAAGAAGCUGAUGAUUCUAUCUGGCCAAUCUUUCCAGGAAACCUGUUGAGUGCCUGAGUGCUUGUUUAGAAGGUACUCUUAAUUUGUAAAGCUAUCCGCUUUUUCAUUUAACCUGGAACUAGACAGAAAAAUGAUGCAGGAACAGCCUGUCAGCCUAGACUAUAAAUUUAUUUCUAUAUUCAUUGGAUCAUCGCAUCUCAGUCAUAAACGCAAUGGUCCUUUUACCCCAUCAUGGAUCCGACCACUAGGAUUUCCAUCCCAAGAGGAAAUCGAAUCUAAGACCUUCAACUGGUGUAGGAAUAAACUACCAGUUGAUCCCAAAAGCCGUUACAAAUGUUAACGGACAAACUUAUUCACUAGAUAAUAUUGUCUCUGUCAUAAAUAUAAAGGUCCUAUUAUGUGUGGACCAUCCCAUCGUGAACCUAUAACACCUUUGUGUGGGCAUUUACACCAUGAUUUCCACUCUAGUAGGAAAUGGAUGCUCCUGCAUCACAAAAUCUUAAUUUGCUUUUGUGUUUGAUUGUUUCUGUUCUGUUUGGUCCAAUUUAGCAGAAGGUCUGAUCUUAACAUUUCUUGUGUUAUAAUUUGUUUAAACAUAUCGGUGGCCAUAAACAUUUUUAUUUCUAUAUAUAGAGCGAUAUUCAGUGCACAUAAAUUGCGGGGGACCAGAAGCCACCAUUGGAAACACCGUCUACGAAGCAGAUGAUGAGCCAGGAGGUGCAGCAAAAUAUGUGUCCAAAAGAGAGGAUUGGCAAAUAAGUACCACAGGACAUUUCUGGGAUAUUGAUUCUUCCUUGGAUAACUACAUAGCACAAAACAAGUCCAUGCUCAGAAUGGACAACUCUGUAUUGUACACAAAUGCACGCCUCACUCCUUUGUCUCUCACAUACCACGUUCCCUGUCUGGUAAAUGGGAAAUACAAAGUCAAGCUGCACUUUGCAGAGAUAGUAAUGAGGGAUAACAGAUCCUAUUACAGUCUAGGAAGACGGAUAUUUGAUGUUUAUAUUCAGGUAUCUAUUAAUUAAAAGAUCAUAGAUUCAUUCCUUAUGCAAUAGGUGACAGCUUAAUUGAAGAAUUGUUCUCGCAGGACAUUGUUGUGCUGAAGGAUUUUGAUAUAGUGAAGGCAGCGGGAGGGGUGGAUAAGUUAUACAUUCAUAAUUAUACAGCACCUGUAACCAAUGGAGCUUUAGAGAUCCGCCUUCAUUGGGCUGGGAAAGGAACCACAAUGUCUCCCAAAAGAGGAAUAUAUGGUCCUCUAAUAUCAGCCAUUGAUGUGGAAUCUGGUAGGUUGACAUAUAAUGGAAUGGCAUUGUAAUCAAAUAAUAAUUAGUACUGUGAUCUGACAAUACUUGCUCUUGCUGCAAUUCUAUUUCUGCCUAGACUUCAAGCCACCUGAUAAAGGCAGGAGGAAGAGAUUCAUUGUCGCUGGAGCUGUGGUUUUGCCAUUAUUCCUCAUUCUCGUAUUUCUAUCCACUCUUUGGUGGAAAGGUCAUUUGGGAGGAAGGAAAUCGAGGGAUCGAGGUACAGCUGAUACAUUUAUUUGAUUUUGCAAAUUCUAGUGAGGAAUCCAGUAACUAAAAUAACACGGCAAUAAACAGUUUUCUUCAUCUUAUUUGCUGUAUGUCUAUCCAUUAAUGCAUACAUUUGUCAAAGAAUUAUCUCAAUACAAAGGUUUAUGCUGCUUGGCGAAGCUAAAGGAAUGGUUUUAUAUUACUCUCUAACAAUGGCUUUUUCAAUGGGAAUUAUCAAUCUCAAUGCUGUUUACUUGUAGGACUGCAAAAACCAUCUGUGUUCUUCCUUUGAUGAAUCAUUCAUGCAGCACAACUAAUAUAUACAUAUCCUCUUUGUUCCUUGGGCAGAACUUGUCGGGUUAGAUCUGCUUACUGGUAUCUUCACCUUCAGACAAAUCAAAGCUGCAACAAAUGACUUUGAUCCAGCAAACAAACUUGGAGAAGGUGGUUUUGGCUCCGUCUACAAAGUACAGUACAGAUUUUUGUUUUCGUCUAGCUACUUGUCUACUAUAUUAUUUCUUUUCUCUUAUCGAAGCAUCAAGGAAUGGCCUCGGUGAACUUAUUUUGUUUGUCUAAAAUUAUUCUCAUUACAGGGAGUACUAUCAGAUGGGACUCCGAUUGCGGUUAAGCAGCUUUCUGCGAAAUCAAAACAGGGGAAUCGUGAGUUUGUGAACGAAAUAGGCAUGAUUUCUGCUUUUCAACACUCAAAUCUUGUUAGAUUGUAUGGAUGUUGCAUUGAGGGGAAGCAAUUGUUGCUGGUAUAUGAAUACAUGGAAAACAAUAGCCUUGCGCAUGUUUUGUUCGGUAGGCCUCUGAUCACUUCCCCAUAGUAUCAUAUGUAAAGUAAUGAGAAAGAAAACAAGUUCUUUGAAUGGAAUAUAGAUAGAAUUAGUGAAGAAGAAACUGAUGGGUUGAUAUAUGCAUGAUGAUUACAGGGACAAAGGAAAUCAAGGCAACGAAGCUAGACUGGCGUACAAGGCAGAGGAUAUGUGUAAGUAUAGCGAAAGGUCUGGUUUUCCUGCAUGAGGAGUCGACACUCAAAAUUGUUCAUAGAGACAUAAAAGGUACCAAUAUCCUUCUUGACAAGGACAUGAACGCCAAGAUAUCUGAUUUUGGAAUGGCCAAGCUUGAUGACGAGGACAACACCCACAUCGACACCAGAGUUGCUGGAACAAUGUGAGUUUGUGAUAUUAACACAAGUGGUUUAUUGAACACAUGAAAAAUCCUGAAAAGAAGACAGUAAGGAAAACACACAAGUAUUGUCAUUUAUCUAAGAUAGCUUUUAGUCUUAAACAGUAUGAUGCUGUAACUGGGCUCAAGUGCCGAUGGAAGGGGUUAGCUUCAAAAUAUGUGGUAGGCAGGCAUCUAGGGUUCAAAUCACACACUGCAGGGUUCUCAUGGAUGUGUUCCAUCUAUGGCUGUGUUCCUCUAAAUGAACACAUUAUCAUCCAGGGUUCGAAAUCCUGUUUAGGCUGCAAGAAAUAUAAUUUUGCCUAUCGAAAACAAAAACAUAGACAUUUAGCAAUUUUAUACAUGUUUCAGUGAAGCAAACUAGUAAAAUGUCUCUGAGUUAUUCUUUCUGUGCAGGGGAUACAUGGCACCGGAAUAUGCAUUAUAUGGUUACUUAACUUACAAGGCAGAUGUAUACAGCUUUGGUGUUGUAGCAUUGGAAAUUGUUUCUGGGAUGAACAACGUCAAAUUUAGGAGGGAUGAGAAUUUUGUAUGCCUUCUAGAUUGGGUAAGUUAUGCCCAUUUAGUCUCUUAAUUGUCUGUUCAUGUUUACUCUUCGUCAGCUAUAUAUCUAUUUUUUUUUUAUUAUUUCAGGUUCUAUAUUUACAAAAAAAUGGGGUCAUAAUGGAGAUGGUUGAUCCAAGAUUGGGGUCUGAAUUCAACAGGAAAGAAGUGGUUAGAAUGAUCAAUGUAGCCCUGCUAUGCACAAAUCAGUCUCCAGCACUUAGACCUACAAUGUCUACAGUAGUGAGCAUGCUUGAAGGAAAAACUGAUGUGGAGGAACUGGUCAUGGUUCCAAGCACAUUGGUUGAUCCAUCAGGGUAUGCUACGGCCUUAC